AUGCUGCUCAAACUACAGCCGUACGCGCAGUCCUCCGUCGUCAAUCGACCCUGCGCCAAGCUAGCUUACAAGUUCUUCGGGCCAUUCAAGGUGGAGGCCAAGAUCGGGACACUCGCCUACAGGCUGAUACUGCCGCCAGACAGCCGCAUCCACAACGUCUUCCAUGUCUCCUAGCUGAAGCCGUACACACCCAACUACGCGCCCGUCUUCACAGAGCUGCCCAAGCUGCUGGAUUUGUCCACGGUUGAGACGGCGCCCGUGGAGAUCCUCGACAGACGCAUGGUCAAGCGCGGCAAUGCGGCGCUGGUGCAACUUCAAGUACGCUGGAACUCUUCUUUGCCUUCAGCAACGACUUGGGAAGACUACGACACACUCAAGCUUCGUUUUCCGGCAGCAGCGAUCUGGCAAGGGGCGGCCGAAGUGCCAGGUGACGCUCCUUCUGAAGAAGGGGGAAAUGUCACACCUGCACCUGCAAGUGCCACGGUGGACCUGAUCAGCCAAUAG
rnacentral:rRNA from 1 species